UACGUAGGGGGCAAGCGUUGUCCGGAAUCAUUGGGCGUAAAGCGCGCGUAGGCGGCCCGGUAAGUCCGUUGUGAAAGUCAAAGGCUCAACCUUUGAACGCCGAUGGAUACUGCCGGGCUAGAGUCCGGAAGAGGCGAGUGGAAUUCCUGGUGUAGCGGUGGAAUGCGCAGAUAUCAGGAGGAACACCAAUAGCGAAGGCAGCUCGCUGGGGCGGUACUGACGCUGAGGCGCGAAAGCGUGGGGAGCGAACAGG
rnacentral:rRNA from 1 species